AAAAAAUAAAUAAUAAAAAAAACACGUGGGAGUAGUCUUGUUAUAGGCGAAUGUAGUGCAGUGGAAAUAUUAAUCGCUCUUUAAUCUUCGUUAUUUCACCUCAAACGGGAGUGUGUGUGCUGGGAGGACCUGAGCCACCUCCACCCCACCCCUGGGGCUUCCUGCCCCAGGAGGAGGAGGAGGAGGAGGAGGAGACGCGGGUGCCCCCCGGGGGACGUGACAGCGGUGACGACGAGCCCCCGUCCUGCACCCCCUGGCCCCCAAGCCCCACCCCACCUACCACCAGCCACACCAGUCCCCACAGCAGCCUCCGUCACCCGCCCCACACCAGGAGCACCUGCCCCAGGACUGCCUGCCCCGCCCCCACAAGACACCGCCCCCAGCCUCCCCUGUCCAGAAGGAGCGCGCCCCUCACAGGUCCCGCUCCCGCUCCCACUCCUGCUGCAGCACUGUGGCACUCAACAUAGCCACAGCAGGAGAGGCAGGGGAGAGCUCACUCACACACACACACACACACACACACACACACACACACACACACACACACACACACACACACACACACACACACACACACACACACACACACACACAUUACUUAUAUAACUGUCACUAAUUACACACAAGUAAUUCUUUCACAGGCCAAUUAUCAACCCCCAAACUAACCCCCCUCCUCCCAACAGUUCCAGUACCCUUAUGAUGCAGCCAAGGGGACUGACGCCACCACCACCACCACCACCACCACCACCACCACAACAAGGGUUAUUCAAGUGGGGAACAUGCUUCAGGUGUUGCCCCAAGAUGCCUCAGCCCCGCAGCCCCACUCCGCCAUGAUAGUGCAGGCAGGGAAUGUCAUACAGAUUGUUCCAGCUGACAACAUGCAGGUGUUAGGGGCAGAAGUUGUUGGAGUUGGUGGGAUCAUGCAAGUGGUCGGGGUCCCAGGCUCUCCCAAACCAGCUCCCCAUCUGUGCCUAUGCAGUGUCUGGCCAGCCACUAGUGUGUUUUGGGGACUCAGACCAGCAGAUUCCCACUGUUUAUCCACUGUUUGUGUUGAUGCAGUGUCUGGCCAGCCACUAGUGUGUAUGUAGGGGACUCAGACCAGCAGAUUCCCACUGUUUAUCCACUGUUUGUGUUGAUGCAGUGUUUGGCCAGCCACUUGUGUGUAUGUAGGGGACUGAGACAAAUUUAUUUACUGUUCAGUGACCCGUUUGCAGGCACAGGGGUGUUGACGAGCUGGGUGUGCAGGAGACAGACAAUUAGAAAGGUUUACAGUUCAAAUGCUACAUGUAUCUUCAAAAUACAGAUAAUAAGUAGAUAAAUAUUGAAAUUAAUAUAAAAUACCAUUGUGUAUUUAACACUUAACCAAACUUAACCAACGUACACACACAAACGCUAACUCCGACAGUACCCUAACUACCUUGCCAUCCCGCAGGAGGCCACGUCGGAGGUGCCUGUGGUGGGGUCGCCAGUUCCGGAGUACGAAGUGGAGGAGGAAGAGGAAGAGGAGGACGAGGAGGAGGCACGGAUGAGGAAGAAGAAAAGAUCAUUAGCUGUAGCUCUCCCUCCAGCUGAUAAGGGGAUAUUAAUGAGGCCUUCCUACAGGUACUCUCCCAGCCGUGUCACAGCUGAUGAUGAUGAUGAUGAUGAUGAUGCCACGCCCACCCCCAGCCUGAGCCACCCUCCACUCACCCCAGCCCUCACCAAGCCUCCUUCAGUACCCCUCCACACCACCACAACCACCACCACCACCAGCGACGCAACAGCCUCAUCUACCUCAGCCGGCCCACCCCCUGGCCCGACCCCCUCCCUGACAGUGGCCCCCCCACGGCAGGCAAGAAGAAGAAGGAGGAGAAAGUAUCAAUAAUCGUACAGAUUCGCGACGAGGAAUCCAGACUGAAACAGGCGCUGGGUUUAAAGAACAUAAUUUUCAACCCUUACGGUCCUGGCCUGGCCCCGAUUGCCAAGCUGCUGGACACCCCUGAGGAGCUGAAGCGUUUUGAGCCCAAGGGCUGCACCAUGAAGGUCCGGCCGGAGGAGAACGAGGCUCGGCUGAACAGAAACAAAGAACGGGGGCGCAGGGACAGGCCGGAGAGGGUCGACAGAAUGGACCGCCCCAGGGCAAAGGAGAGGGACAGACGCACGGACGCACAGGCCACGCAGGUCCGCUCCAUCCACCCACCCGUGCACAGAAAUGCUGGUAUCUCCACGUUGACAACUGGCCAGAGGAAGUAAGGACAGUACCUUGUGUCCCUGCCUCUGCUACCUCACCCCCUGCCCCGCCCCCUGCCCCAGCCCCCCCGCACACAAGUCGGCCAAGUCCAAGUGGGACUCUGACACAGAAGAGCAAGUGGACGGACAGAAGUGAGGGGAGAGAGAGAGGAGGAAGAGAAGGAGGAGAGGAAGGAAAAUAAAAAUAUAAUCAAGAAUUUGGAGGAAGAGGAAGACCAGGAGGUACAGGUGAAGGAAGAGGAGGAAGAGGAAUAGACUAUCCCAGAGAAGAUGAAGGAAGAGGAGGAAGAGGAGGAGGAGGAGGAGGAGGAAGAGAAGGAAGAGUGAGGCAAAGGUCUUCCCCGAUUGUUUGACCGAAGAAUACGAAGCUUUCCUUAUGAUGGUGGAUGGAGGAGGAGGAGGAGGAGGAGGAGGAGGAGAGAAGAAAGAGGAGGAAGAGGAAGAGGAGGAGGAGGAAGGAAGAUGCAAGAGAGAGGUCACAUCACUAUAUAAAGAAGAGGAGGAAGACUACAUGAAAAUUGAAGAAGAGGAGGAGGAAAGAAGAAGAAAGAGGAUGAGAGAGGAGGAGGAGGAAGAGGAAGAGGAGAAGAAAGAACAGAAGACCCUGGAGAAGAUGAAGAAGAAGAGGAAGAAGCAAAUGAAGGAGAAGAGGAGGCAGAAGAAACUGGAUAAGAAGGC